GGGGCCCCAGGAUGGUCAGGACCUCCCCCCACCUGCGCGUGCUGAGCUGGGGGCCCCAGGGUGGUCAGGACCUCCUCCCACCUGCAUGUGCUGAGCUGGGGGCCCCAGGAUGGUCAGGACCUCCCCCCACCUGCGCGUGCUGGGCUGGGGGCCCCAGGGUGGUCAGGAUCCCCUCAUGCUGCGCUUUCUCUCGGUGCCUCCACCGUCCCUGACCUGCCUUGUCCUGCAGGACCCCAGGCUGGCUGGGCCCAUUCCGGGUAAGGCUGGGCUGCUCUCAGAGGGAUGGUGUAGGUCCUCAAAGCCUAAGCCGAACCAGCACGGGACCCUGGGGAGCCGGGGUGGAGGGGUGUGGGGGGAGGGUGGGGGUGUUGAGGGGGAGGGUGUGCUGUGGCCGCUCAGUGUUUGGAUUUGCAUUUCCCUGUGACUUGGAACAGGAAGCGCGUUUUCCGCCCGCGGAUAUUUCCUGUCUACCAAGUUUCAGUUCAGGACUUUUGUCUCUUCUCUGUUGCUUUUGGUCUUUAAAGAGCUUCUUUUGUUUUUUUGUUUUUCUUUUACAUGUUGUGGAUAGUUUUUGGGUGAACAUAAGCUUUCACUUUUAAUGUAGUUGAAUUUAUCAAUAUUUUCCUUUUAUGGGUAGGAGUUUUUCUUUGUGCCUUUUUAGAGAAAUUCAUUUCUACUCUGAGAUCAUGAAGUUAUUUACUGCCUGCCUCCCUCCCUCCCUUCCUGCCUUCCUCUCUUUUUUGGAGAUGAGGUCUCACUCCGUCUGGAGUGCAGUGGUGCAAUAUUGGCUCACUGCAAUCUCUGCCUCCCACAUUCAAGUGAUUCUCCUGCCUCAGCCUCCCGAGUAGCUGGGAUUACAGGUGCCUGCCACCAGGCCUGGCUAAUUUUUGUGUUUUUAGUAGAGAUGGGGUUUCACCAUGUUGGUCAGACUGGUCUCGAACUCCUGACCUCAGGUGAGCCACCUGCCUCGGCCUCCCAAAGUGCUGGGAUUUACAGGCAUGAGCCACUGCACCUGGCCUAUCUUGUCUUUUAAGAACUAUAGAGUUUUGUCUUUCACAAUUAGGUCUGUGAUUCAUGAGGAAUGAUUUUUGGGCAUGGCAGGGGUCAGUGAGCUACAGCCUGAGGGCCAACUCCGGCUGACCACUUGUUUGUGUCAAUAAAGUUUUAUUGGAACAUAGCCAUGCACAUAUUGAGUGGUUGAGGCAGACGCCAACUAAGUGGCUUUCCAGGGCCCAAACGACUGUGGCCCUUUACAGAAAAUAUGUGCUGACCCCCGGGGUAUGGUGUGAGGGAGGGUUCGGUUUUGUUACUGUUGCAUGUGUAUGUCCUGGGUCGCAGCAUCAUUCAUAGAGGGAACUGCUUUUCCCCUGGCUCCAUGGUUCUGCCCUUUCCUACAUGGGUAUCUACAUGAGGCUGGCCCUGCUUCUGGCCACUUCCUUCUCUUCUGGGCUAUUUGUUGAGCCUCUGGCCGACGCCACACUGUCUGUCACUGUGGCUUUAUGACAAGUCCUGCGUGGUGGAGCCAGCUGUACUAUCAUUCUUCACUGCUUGCACUCUGGCAUGAAUUGUGGACUCGGCUUGUCAAGUUCCACAAAGAUCAGCUCAGUAGACUCCUGGAGGGGAGCUGGCAUCUUGGCUACCCUGAGUCCUCGAGCUGGUUGAUAGGAACGUUCCUCCAACUGUGGUGGUCGUCUUUAAAGCUUCUCAGGAAAGUUUCAUGAAGGUCUCUGGAUGUCUUGGACUCUGUUAGAUAUACUUCUAAAUCUCAACUAUUUAAAAAAUAUUAUUGCAUAUGGUAUGUUUUAAAAUCUUUCAUUUUCUAGUUGUGGAUUGCUGUAGAAAUAAUGGAUUUGUUAUGUUAAUUUUGUCCUUGGCAGUCUUGUUUAACUCCUGUAAUCCUAUAGAUUAUUUAUCUCAUCAUCUAUGAAUACAUGCAGUUCUGUGUCUUCCUUUGGAACUCUUAUGUAUUUUUUUUUCGCCUUGUAAACAGGCCUCCAGCUCAUUUCUGAUGGGCGCUGAUGGAAACAAGAAUAUUUGAUUUUUCUCUUAAUGUCAAAGAGGCACUUUCAGUGGCUGUGUGAUGUCUUUUGUAGUUUUUUUUUUUUUGGUAGUUUUUUUACAAAUGCCUUUCAUUAGAGUUACCUUCUGUUCUUCAUUAGCCAGAGUUUUUUAUUUUGUCAUGAAGGAAUGAUUUUUUUUCAGAUUCUUUUUCUGUAUUGAUUGAGCUACACGUGAUCUUUCUCCUCUCUGUUGAUGGAGUGAAUUGCUUUGAUUUUGAGCAUUCUAUUCUCUUAUGUUAAACUUUGAAUUUCCAGGAUAAAUUCAGUGUGACCAUGAUGUGCUAUUCUAGCAUUUAUUGGUGGAUUCAGUUUGAUGAUGCUUUUUAUGAUUUAUAUAUCUAUGUGUAUGAGUGGGAUUGAUAAUGCUUUAUGAUUUAUAUAUUUAUUCAAGCUGUUUUGCCCACCUGCUGCCCACCUUCAGAGAGGGUGUAGAAAAGUGAUGUGAGCCCCCCAGCGUCCCCGCUUGUGCCGUGGGUCAGGCCAGCCCCGAGUGAGCCACAGAGCAGCCUGCGGCCAGCGGGGCUGGGGGUCAGCAGGGUCUGGAGGGUCUGCAGGCCUGGGGGCGGCGCUGGGACUGAGCAGGCCUCCGAGCACGGGGGCGCUGCCCUGUGCUCCCCGGGGCCUGCCUGCCUCAUGGCUGGAUUUCCACCCACCUCGGCUGAGCAGAGAGUGCUGACGGGGCUCCUUGCUCUCCUCUGCUUGGUUCUGAGCUAUUGAAAUAAUAAGGCAGGAAGCCAGAGACACGUGCCCACGUCUCUCCUCUGUCUUGUUAAGGAAAGCGGCGCUUCUGAUCAGAAAAACAACACAAGGAUCUCAGAGGCAGGACAGAGUGGGAUCCGAGGGACCGCGUGGUGUUUCUGGCCCCCUUCCCUCUCGAUGGCUGAUUAUUCAGAGUGUUCACACCCAGCAAAGGAGCAGGCUGCUCGUUCCCGACUGCAGCACGGCGUGCCGGGCCGCGGUGUUCUUUCUGGAUCACUGGUUUCCUCAGCAGCAGCGCUAACAGCCGCCCGGCAUGUCGGGCUCAAUGCAUCAGGUCUAAUCAGAUGUGGCAGCUGCUGAAACCCAAAUGCCUCCAUCCAACCAAAGCAUCUCAAUGCUGCCAGUGGUCUCUGGCUGAGCCGCCUCCAAUUCAAAUGCACGUGACAGGGUCCCUGGCUGCAACCCAGGUUGGAGAAUCCGGGAUUAGAAGGCUGAGGACUUCGGACAACCAAACCCAGGUCUCUGCCAGAUGGCUGGGCCUGGCUUCACCUGUGUGUGGGUGGGAAGGAGCCGUUGGCCAACUGGUCUCUAGAGAUGGAGACCCUGACCUGGGUCAAGAGUGACGGGAGAUGCCAGGAGGACCUGGCCAGGGCGCCGUCUUGGUUUUUCACCCAUUCUGUCUUCCUUCCCUGACCCAUGACUCGGGUUUCCAAUAUUUAAAAUACUCUCAUCCUGGACCCUGCAAUCUAAAGAUGAUUUUCUUGCAGAGGCUGAGUGAGCUGGCUCUGACCCACCAGAUGUACCGGGCCCUGAGCUGGACCCUGGUGUCCAGAAGUGGACACAGCCCCUGUGGGGCUCCAGCCUGUGGGGUUGGGGGGUGAUGAGGGACUCCUUCAAGAACGGAUGCAGUGCCUGGCAGGGCUGCAGGCUGCUGCCCACAGAGGGGCCUUUGCAGCUGUCCCUGAUGAAGUUGCCUGGGCACACCAGAGUGUGGGAGAGUGGACGGCGCGGCCCCUCCUGCACUUGGAGCUGCUCUCAGAUCUUGGGCUGUGACCCCUGUGGGUGACACGAAGUUCAGUGAUUGUCCUCCUUCUGGACUGAGGGACAUCCAUCCACACGCGCCCCCUCCACAGCCCGAUCCCAUCACGUCCUGCUCGUCCAACAUGGGCCUUAGAUCCUGGGGUCUCUGCUGAGUGCCUCCCCUCUGAACGCCCGGCUGGCACUUUCACGGUGAAGCCAGCUGUCAUGGACACCGACGGCAGGUGGCCUUUCUGCGUUGUCUACCGGCUGAUCUUGAAAGUGAAAACGGACAUUGUCUGCCCUGUGGUGACCGUGUUGGGUGAUGGUCCUGGGGUCAGGCCCUGCAUGCACCUUCACCCAGGGAUGGCUUCUUAGCUGACAGCGGCUCUGCCAGGAACCACGAUCACCCUCCAGUUUGCUCUUUGUGCUGAAUUUUAUUGACAUGAAAUUCGCAUGACGCCAACUUUAUCGUUUUAAAGUGAAUGGUUAAACAGAAUGCGGCACUUUCACAGGGCGGCAUGACCCCCACCUCUGUCUGCCUUCAGAACAUUUUCAUCCCCCACGAAAGGAGGAAGCGCAGUCCCCAGGAACAGUUACUCCUCAUUUCCCCUCCCCAGCUCUGGCUUCCGCAACCACGAAUCUGCUUUCUGUCUCCGUGAAUUUGCCUCUUUCGGAUAUAUUUCACGUAAAUGGAGUCCCGUGAUAGAUGAGCUGUGUCUGCCUCUUGCGGGCAGCACAGUGUCUGGAAGGUUCUCCGUGCAGCCGCAGGGGUUGGCGCUUCCUUCCUCCCGAGGCUGACCCGGCCCCGUCGUACGGGGAGUCCACUGUGUGUCUGUCUUUUGGCUGCUGUGAGCCUGGGUGUGCCGCCUGCUCCAGCCCAUGUUUUCAGCUCUUUCAGGUGUGGAGGGAGGAGUGGAAUUGUGGGAUCAUAUUGUAACUUUAACUUUGGAAGGAUCUGCCAAAUUACCCCUCUAAUUUGUUUUCAAUUUUAUUCUUAUUUCCCUGUCACUUGUUCUUUCUUUUGACUGGUUAAAAAAAAUGGCAAAGGUCUUCAGCAAAACAAGAAGUGAGUUUCAAUUGAACCGUGAAUUAAAUAUGAUACACUCAAAAUCUGACCAAUAAUACAUUUUAAUUUUCCCCACACAUUUACGUCCACGUUAAUUUCAUGGAAAUCAAGAUGCUUUUGCCUCUGUUCUAAAGUAUUUAUUUUUUUUAAGACAGGUUCUUACUCUGUUGCCCAGGCUGGAGUGCAAUGGCGCGAUCUCAGCUCACUGCAGUCUUGACCUCCCAGGCUCAAGCAAUCCUCCUGCCUCAGCCUCCUGAGUAGCUGGGACCACAGGUGUGCAUCACCAUGCCUGGCUAAUUUGUUACAUUUUUAGUAGAGACGGGGUUUCACCAUGUUGGCCAGGCUGGUCUGGAACUCCUGACCUGAAGCGAUCCUCCCACCUCAGCCUCCCACAGUGCUGGGAUUACAGGCGUGAGCCACCACGUGCAGCCUGAAAGUAUUUUUUUUUAGAGUUUCCUAAAAGUUUCAUCAUCCCUUUUGUUUUCCUAACAAGCUGUGAAACCCAGUGGGUUUUAAUUGUGAAUCAGCACCAAAACACAUGCAGAUUUAAUUUUUAAUUGAAAUGAUGGACAAUAAACAGAAUUAAUAACUCAAA